CCUGGCGGCAGUAGCGCGGUGGUCCCACCUGACCCCAUGCCGAACUCAGAAGUGAAACGCCGUAGUGCCGAUGGUAGUGUGGGGUCUCCCCAUGCGAGAGUAGGGAACUGCCAGGC
rnacentral:rRNA from 5 species